rnacentral:rRNA from 1 species
AACGAACGCUGGCGGCAGGCUUAACACAUGCAAGUCGAACGCUCGUAGCAAUACGGGAGUGGCGGACGGGUGAGUAACGCGUGGGAACGUGCCCUGAGGUACGGAAUAACUGCGGGAAACUGCAGCUAGUACCGUAUGAGCCCCUAACGGGGAAAGAUUUAUCGCCUUGGGAGCGGCCCGCGUCGGAUUAGCUAGUUGGUGGGGUAACGGGCCUACCAAGGCUUCGAUCCGUAGCUGGUCUGAGAGGACGAUCAGCCACACUGGGACUGAGACACGGCCCAGACUCCUACGGGAGGCAGCAGUGGGGAAUCUUGCGCAAUGGGGGCAACCCUGACGCAGCCAUGCCGCGUGAAUGAUGAAGGCCUUAGGGUUGUAAAGUUCUUUUGCCCGUGACGAUGAUGACGGUAACGGGAGAAUAAGCUCCGGCUAACUUCGUG